rnacentral:rRNA from 1 species
ACGGGAGCAGACAACAGGGAUGCCUCAGUAACGGCGAGUGAAGCGGCAACAGCUCAAAUUUGAAAUCUGGCCCCCCGGGCCCGAGUUGUAAUUUGUAGAGGAUGCUUCGGGCGUGGUCCGGCCUAAGUCCCUUGGCACAGGGCGUCAUAGAGGGUGAGAACCCCGUAUGUGGCCGGGUGCCUAGGCCCGUGUGAAGCUCCCUCGACGAGUCGAGUUGUUUGGGAUUGCAGCUCAAAAUGGGUGGUAAAUUUCAUCUAAAGCUAAAUACCGGCCAGAGACCGAUAGCGCACAAGUAGAGUGAUCGAAAGAUGAAAAGCACUUUGGAAAGAGAGUUAAACAGUACGUGAAAUUGUUGAAAGGGAAGCGCUUGCGACCAGACUUGGGCGCGGCCGAUCACCCGGCGUUCUCGCCGGUGCACUCGUCCGCGCGCCAGGCCAGCAUCGGUUCCGGCGGCCAGACAAAGGCCGGGCGAACGUGGCUCCCCCCGGGGAGUGUUAUAGCGCCCGGCGCCAUGUGGCCUGCUGGGACCGAGGACCGCGCCUCUGGCUAGGAUGCUGGCGUAAUGGUCGCAAGCGACCCGUCUUGAAACACGGACCAAGGAGUGGAAUAAUCAUGCGAGUGUUUGGGUGCAAAACCCAUGCGCGAAAUGAAAGUGAACGGAGGUGAGAUCCCGUCAGGGCGCAUCAUCGACCGAUCCUGAAGUCUUCGGAUGGAUUUGAGUAAGAGCAUGGCUGUUCCGACCCGAAAGAUGGUGAACUAUGCGUGGAUAGGGUGAAGCCAGAGGAAACUCUGGUGGAGGCUCGCAGCGGUUCUGACGUGCAAAUCGAUCGUCAAAUCUGUGCAUAGGGGCGAAAGACUAAUCGAACCAUCUAGUAGCUGGUUCCUGCCGAGCCCUCCUCUCCCCAGAGA